rnacentral:lncRNA from 1 species
CGAAUACUGAAUCUGUGAUUUUUCAACACAAAAACAAAAAGAAAAUCAAAUACAUCACCCAGCCUGCUUGCAAAUAUUCAAAAGACGGAUACAGGAAGGAAACAGAACAUGGGAUUUCAAUAAUGCAAACAGUUUGAUGCACGGAUUGUACAGCAUUUUCAGAGCAUUUUUGCCUCUUCCUACACAUCCAAGACACAUAAAGCACUGUUGAGCGUGCUUUGCAUAUUUCCUUGUGUGGCCUCCUGUUUGCUACCGCUAGUCAGUUCCAGACGGCCCACACAUUCAAAUGGACGUGUCCUCUUCCGCACAGAUAGAAGGAGUUUCCCUAAACCUGCGGCCCGGCCGAGGACACCAUCCAUCCGGCAGGACCACCAACAAUAGCUGCAUUGUUCUGCAUGUCUGCAAGGAAACACGGCCUACAGAGAGAUGCCAUUGUUUUAUCCUGUAAUGUUACCUGUGAUUCGAUAAAUGAUAGCGGCCUGUGUUUUUGUGGUAGGGAUGCACAAAUAUAUGACUGCGUUCUUAGGUCACUGCUGAGCUCUGGCACGGGCUCGGCUCAAGAGAAGCAGGAAAGCAGAAACCUUUUGAUUUCAGAACGGCAUUCCUGGAAAAACGAGAGGGUGCCUGAUGACGCGGCACAGGAUGAGCUUUACUCUCAAGUGCCGCCAGAGCUUUGGUUUGGGAGGCCUGAGAUCCUGGGAAAACACGAAUCCAAGCAUCAAACAGGCUUCCCACACCUUACCAUCAGUGCAGUUUCCUCUGUGAUUCCUGGAGAAGGGUUUUAAGCAUCGCUAGAAACAUUUAACAUCACUAUAGAAAUGCACAGGACUUUGCAUUCAUUUCCAGGCUUGGAAAACACAGUUUUAUCAAUUUGAUAACCCAAACAAAAAACAUGCUAUAUUAUCUUAUCAAAACAGUGACUGAUUUAUCAAUAGCAAAUGCUAAAUGAUGAAUGAAUGAAUUCAUGCAUCAUGAAUAAAUGUAAAAAUAAAGAAAUAACUUGAUUUCGACUUGUUUGUCAGAAUGCAAAAGCAUAAAUAAAUAAAACAAAUAAAAGAAAAUAUGUAAAGCGGAAAUGAGAAGUUUCCUUACAUUUCUUAUAAACAGGAUAGUGGAGCU